UGAGUAACACGUAUGCAACCUGCCUGCCACAGCCGGAUAAUCGGGAGAAAUUCCGUCUAAUACGGCGUAAUGCAUCGACGGGACAUCCUGUUGGUGCCAAAGGUUGAUUCCGGUGGCGGAUGGGCAUGCGUCGCAUUAGUUAGUUGGCGGUGUAACGGACCACCAAGACGACGAUGCGUAGGGGUUCUGAGAGGAAGGUCCCCCACACUGGUACUGAGACACGGACCAGACUCCUACGGGAGGCAGCAG
rnacentral:rRNA from 1 species